UGCUCCUGCCUCUAAACCCUAGUUCAUCUUCAUCUUCAUCUUCAAUAGUCGACAGCCAGGAAACAUCACAGAAAGCUCUCAAUCAUCUUCAAUCAUCGACUUUUCUUCUCGGAAGAAGAAGAUAACUCAUCGACCCAAUUAGGUUUUUUACACCAUACAAAUCGAGAGAAAAAGGCUUCAAUAAAAAUCAUGGAUCAUCAAAAUGGGAGCUGUAGCAGCUUCACGGGGAGGUGGUUUUGUAGGGGGUUGAGUAUAUACUGAAGCAGAGGCUAUGAAGAUGAAUUUGACGAAUUAAAAUCAGAAAAGUGAAUGAUUAAGAUGAUGAAAAAGAUGAGAUUAGUGGAGAGGAAGAAGAUGAACAUGACCAUAAGUAAAAUCAGCUUUAGUCCCCUUUUCAUCCAUGGUCUUGAUUAAGAUGCAUGAGAUUGCUGAGGGGUACCUUGGUUCUACAGUUAAGAAAGAUGUUGUUACAGUCCCUGCCUACUUCAAUGAUUCUCAGCGUCAAGCUACAAAGGAUGCUGGAGUCAUUGCUGGUCUUAAUGUUAUGCGUAUCAUCAAUUAACGUAUUGGCGCUGCCAUUGCCUAUUGUCUCGACAAAAAGGCCACCAAUGUCGGAGAGAGGAAUGCUUUUAUCUUCGAUCUAGGAGGUGGUACCUUUGAUGUCACAUCUGUGUAAGUAUAUUUUCCAGUGCUUUCUGCUCUUAGUUAUUAUAAUGCUGGAGUGACCAAGAUGUGUAUGUCACGGUAAAUGGAGCCUCCAAAACCCAAGACUAAGCAAGGUACAGUUGUGAACUACUGCAAUGUACAAUUUUAUUUAUUCCAACGUCUGUGUUAAAUGACUUUUAGGAUAUUGGUGCAACACUAGUUAUCUGCCAAUGGGGUUUUGAUGAAUCGAAACUUGCCUGCUGUUAGAUGGAUUGGUGGAGUAGAACUAGAGCUCAUUGCAAUAGCUACAGGUUAUUAUGAACUCAUCUCUUACUGAUGUAUGGCAUGUUGUCUUUGUCUCUGUAGGUGGAAGGAUUAUGCCAAGGUUCCAAGAACUGAAAAUUUGGGAAAGGCUGGGUUAGUUAGAGAGAGAUCCUUCGGUACAACCAAAGAUCGAAUGCGCUACAUUGAGCAGUGUGUGAAUUCAAGGGAGGUCACUAUCUUCACUUGUGGUGGUUAUGUUAUAUGUGAACAUGGAGGUCAAUGGCGUGCCCUUAAAGUGGAAGUGACACAUUGAAUUUAUGCUCCAUGAAUCGGAAAACCGCUGAGCUUAUGGGGUAGAUUGAGACUCCCCUGAUGAAGUACAUCGGAUGUAUGAUGAUGCUUGCCCCAUCCUUGAAGAACAUGAAAAGUAGAAAAUCGCAUUUGAUCUAUAUCGUGUUGCUGCCAAUGUUUAUAUACAGCUUAAAAAAUGAAGUACUGCGUAGCUGCUUCGUUCUUGGAAGAGAGAGCUCCUGCAAGAGAAGUGUCCAUGGAUUGAAGAUGCAUAGAUGUUGUCUCUUUGGAUUCCAUUCGCUUCACUGAUUCUGCUUCAAAUGCAGCAGUCUGUGGCAUGAGAAGCCUGUUAUGUAAGUCAUGUUUCUGUGCAUGUUAAUCUGCGACAUGAGAAAACUUAGAAAUAGGUUAGGAACCUAGGAAGUUUUUUAAGUUUUUGUGAACUGCAUUUUGGGACUUAGUGAGUUUCUAUGUAUUCCCCUUGGAAAUUUGAUA